GGGGAUGAUCGGUUUCGACGAUGUGAGUCGCGUCAGGAGAAGCGGGCCGAGGAUGCAGAGUUAUCUCGAAAACGCCCUCUGCAAACCAAUAAGUGCCGAUUCUAAGCGCACUGACUUCGCUCUCGCUGCCUAAGCAGCCAGACAGUCCGUCAGCCAGGGUAUGCUAUCGCCCCUGAGCCUGGCGUCGAUUAGAUAGCCACUGCUGAGCACAUUCGUCGCUGAUGUGCUCGGGACUUUUAGGCGACUGUGCCCAGGGAUGCAAGCCGCUCGUCUGCGAGACGGCUUAUGGGGCAGAGAAAUCCCACAGCAGACUGCGCCCGGAGAAGACCAGGCAACACCUCAUCGGACGCGGGUUCAAUUCCCGCCAUCUCCACGA
rnacentral:tmRNA from 1 species